rnacentral:snRNA from 1 species
GCAUGUGAGGGCGAUCUAGCGGUGACAUCUGUCACCGCAUUGAUCGCCAGGGUUAACUCGGUAGAUCUGGCUGGCUAGGCGGGUGUCCCCUUCCUCCCUCACAGCUCCACAUGCUUCCCUCCAGAAGUUUUGCGCUGGGUCAAAGAGGAUGGCCUUCCCUGAAUAGAGACGGACCGGUCUUUGGUCGAGGGUAUACACGUAGCUGCACUCCCCUGCUAGAUCCUCCAAACAAGCUCUCAAUAAAUGAUUACAAAAUCAAAUAUAAAAUAGGAACAGGAUCUUGUAAGAAAUUGGAGCGACAAGAAACUAAAUCAUUCUGCACAGAAGGCAUGAA